CUCAGGAUGAACGCUGGCGGCGUGCUUAACACAUGCAAGUCGAACGAAGCGCUUAGGAUUGAGAUUUCGGUUGAUUGAAUAAGUGACUUAGUGGCGGACGGGUGAGUAACGCGUGGGUAACCUGCCCCGUACAGGGGGAUAACAGUUAGAAAUGACUGCUAAUACCGCAUAACCCGCUAGAGUCGCAUGACUCAGACGGAAAAGAUUUAUCGGUACGAGAUGGACCCGCGUCUGAUUAGCUAGUUGGUGGGGUAACGGCCCACCAAGGCGACGAUCAGUAGCCGGCCUGAGAGGGUGAACGGCCACAUUGGGACUGAGACACGGCCCAAACUCCUACGGGAGGCAGCAGUGGGGAAUAUUGCACAAUGGGGGAAACCCUGAUGCAGCGACGCCGCGUGAGUGAAGAAGUAUUUCGGCAUGUAAAGCUCUAUCAGCAGGGAAGAAAAUGACGGUACCUGACUAAGAAGCCCCGGCUAACUACGUGCCAGCAGCCGCGGUAAUACGUAGGGGGCAAGCGUUAUCCGGAUUUACUGGGUGUAAAGGGAGCGUAGACGGUUUAGCAAGUCUGAAGUGAAAGCCCGGGGCUCAACCCCGGGACUGCUUUGGAAACUGUUGAACUAGAGUGCAGGAGAGGUAAGCGGAAUUCCUAGUGUAGCGGUGAAAUGCGUAGAUAUUAGGAGGAACACCAGUGGCGAAGGCGGCUUACUGGACUGUAACUGACGUUGAGGCUCGAAAGCGUGGGGAGCAAACAGGAUUAGAUACCCUGGGUAGUCCACGCCGUAAACGAUGGAAAACUAUCCUGUUGGGCGGGGCACCGCCUGUCGGUGGGCGCAGCUAACCCUAUAAGAUUUCCCCCCGGGGGAGUACCUUUCUCAGGAUUGAAACCUCAAAGGAAUUGACGGGGGACCCGCACAAGCGGUGGAGCAUGUGGUUUAAUUGGAAGCAACGCGAAGAACCUUACCAAGUCUUGACAUCCGGCUGACCGGUCCUUAACCGGACCUUUCCUUCGGGACAGCCGAGACAGGUGGUGCAUGGUUGUCGUCAGCUCGUGUCGUGAGAUGUUGGGUUAAGUCCCGCAACGAGCGCAACCCUUAUCUUUAGUAGCCAGCGGUCCGGUCGGGCGCUCUAGCGAGACUGCCCGGGUUAACCGGGAGGAAGGUGGGGAUGACGUCAAAUCAUCAUGCCCCUUAUGUCUAGGGCUACACACGUGCUACAAUGGCAAGUACAAAGAGAAGCAAGACCGCGAGGUGGAGCAAAACUCAAAAACUUGUCUCAGUUCGGAUUGUAGGCUGAAACUCGCCUACAUGAAGCUGGAGUAAAUAGUAAUCGCGAAUCAGCAUGUCGCGGUGAAUA
rnacentral:rRNA from 1 species